UCAGGAUUGGCAUCCAUCACCGCACACCCACACUGCCAUUUCACUUUGGCGCAAAGUAGUCUCUGUAAUGCAAGGACACGCAGACGGAUGGAUGCAUUGCUUAUAAAUGUGACAGCUACGAGAGAUAUCUCCAUGUAUGUUUAAUAUGAGAGCCUCCCGACUGAAAUCUGGGAGUUGGCAACCCUGAUCACAGGGCAAAGUUCAGUUUUGCAAAAAAGGAAUGAGAUCCAUACUGGACUAGUCACAAGGCAAAGCCGACAGAAACCGGGCACUUCCUAAACUGCUGCAAACCAUCUUCGAGACCUGAAGCGACUAUCGCCAGACAUGGAACAAGGGCCUACGCAAAAUGUGUUUCAUCAGCGAGAAAACACACGUGAAAAUGCAACAAGUGUUGUACUUUUCAUGAUGUGGACAUUAAGUGCGCAGGCGAGCGUGAAGAAACAGACGGUAGCAGCUGGUGAAAAAGAGAUCCUUGUAAAAGAUGCACUUAGAUUUUAAGUGUUUCUCUUGUAGUUUUCAAUGCAAAUAAAAAGAACAAAAAAACACUGUUCUGCUGUGGAGUGUCUGUACAAGCUAAUUAGAAGGUACAGUGCCUCAUUCUAAAAGUGAAUGACUUCGUUUUUGCCCAAAAUGCACUACUACAUACUAUAACUGUAACAAAAGUUUUUUUCCCCAAAUAUUUUGCAAAUGUAUUGUAAAUAAAAAAAAAACUUUCUAAUUAUUAUAGCUCUUUUAUUUUGUUACUUCACUCAUUUUCUGGUGCUGGAUGCUCAAUACCAGAGGUGGGUAGUAAUGUGUUACACUUAAUCCGUUACUUUUACUUGAGUAACUUUUUGAGAGAUAUAAACUUCUAAGAGUAGUUUUACCAUGCAAUACUU